AGGUAGGUACUUCAAAAUCGAACAAGUUUAAUAAUCGUGUUAGUAGUGCUUUUGAAAUAGUGACAAGGGUAAUCGGUACGCAUUAAAGCUGUAUUGUCACCUACCUACUUAACUUUUUGGCACCUAGUCUAGUACAAUAAUUUACAAUACCUGCGAAAAUUCGUAAACUUGUUUUUCGGUCUAUUUGUUUGUGACAUUUUUCAUUCGUGAAAAAAUGGCCGAAGAUUCGCAAAUAUCCUCGUUUUACGCCUACAAGAAAAUCUUGAUCACUGGAGGCACCGGAAGCAUGGGUAAAGUUUUGAUUUGGAAAUUAUUGCACAGCUGUCCUAAAUUGGACACUGUUUACGUGCUGAUUCGACCUAAAUAUGGCAAAAACCGAAUAUCCCGUAAAUCAGAACUUUUCAGUUCACCGAUAUUUGAAAAUUUCAAAAAGAAUAAUCCUAAGAUACUCGACAAAGUGAUAUUCGUUUCUGGAGAUGUUGGAGAAGAAGGAAUGGGACUGUCGAGUAAAGAUCGAGAAUUGUUGAUCGACGAAGUAUCUAUUGUAUUCCAUAACGCUGCUAUUUUAAAAAUGGACGCCGAUUUACGUACCGCUGUCAAUGUUAAUACACUUGGAACUGCAAGGAUGUUGGAUCUUGCGCAAAAGAUGAAAAAACUGGAGGCUUUUGUUCACGUUUCUACGGCGUUUUGUUGUUGUGAAAAUCUUACAGUUGAAGAAAGAAUUUACCCCUCGACGCAAAAUCCACUCGAUGUCAUUGAUCUUACUCGGUGGAUGGAUCCCCAAAUGCUGGCUGACUUAACCCCUAAAUUAAUUUAUCCAUUACCGAACACUUACAUUUACAGCAAGCGACUCACAGAAACGUUACUAUUGAAUUACGUAUCACUUGUUCCUAUUAUCGUUGCAAGACCUAGCAUUGUGAUCCCAGCCAUAUCAGAACCAUUACCUGGUUGGAAUGAUACUCUUAAUGGGCCAGUGGGUCUUUUCACAGCUAGAGGUACAGGAGUAAUGCGAACGUCCAUGAUGAAUAUUGAUGUGAAAAGUGAUGUAAUUCCAGUUGACAUAACUAUCAAUAGUCUAUUAACUCUACCAUGGGCUAAUUCGAAAGAAAAAUUAUUGAAGGAAAUCGCCGUAUACAAUAUCACACAAACAGCAUACAAUGAAAUGGUUUGGAGAGAAAUAAUACAACUCUUUCAAAAUGCACUAGAAAAAUACCCGUUUGAAAAAAUGCUCUGGUAUCCGAGUUCUGACACUUUUCCCAAUAAUCUUGCAAUAUAUACGAUAAAGUGCAUUUUCUUUCACUAUUUGCCAGCCUACUUAAUUGAUUUUAUUUUGGUAUUAAUUGGCCAAAAACCUUUCCUGAUUCGCACUCACGAUAAGCUCAGACAAGGUGAAAAAGUACUUAGGUAUUUUUCCCAGCAGCAGUGGGCAUUUUUACAUGAUAAACUAUUGAACAUUGAAGGGCUGCUCAACAACGCUGAUAAUCGUAUAUUCCCUAUUAAUAUGAACGUCGAACCGGAUACCGUAAGAUACACGGAAAAUGCCACAAUCGGUGUCAAAGUUUUUAUUUUUAAAGAAGAUAUGAAAAAUCUAGAUAAUGCAAGAAGAAAUGCUACAAUAAUGUAUUUUCUCGAUAAGAUAAUGCUGGUCCUCAAAUACUUCGUUAUAUGGAAAAUUUUCAUGUUCAUGUACAGCUCGGUCUUCUACCCUUUUCAAAUGAAUCAAUGAGAAGCACAGCACUUGGAAAAGUCCGUCUACAUAAGAGCUAGUAUUUAUUUUUGGAACGAACAGACCAGGAACAAGAUCAAAAUUUGAUUGUUCUCUCAACAGUGUUCGGUGUUCGUGUCACAACAAUCUGAUUCUGAAGUCGGACUCUAAAUGGCUCAAAAACUAAACCCUCAGCCUAAAGAGAUAAAGUGUUGCGCACCAGAUGAUGGUAUAUAUACGCGUUCAUUCCAACUGCCAAGUUGUGUUGUAUGAAAGGAGAGACGGUUAGCACUCCCCUAGACAAGGAUGGAAUUACACAAAUAUUAGCCGAGGCACCUCUACCCGUGCAGGUAGAGUCGGCUAUAAUUUUUUUUUCAACGUACCUUCGUCAUUUUAAUCUUGUGUCAUAAAAUACGUAACUGACAUGCGUUCCUCUUUGAAAUUUUGUUACUGUUUUCAAGACAAUUUUUUUUUUUUUUUGAUAAUUUACAAACGAGGAGCAAUAUUCCAAAACGCCCUAUGUCCAUUUUAAAAAAUUAAUUUUUAGUCUGGUAAAUUGGCUAUUUAGGCGGGUUUAAAACUUUAUUUGGAUGGAUUUAUGAUGUUAGGAGUGUAGCUAUACACAUUUCAUCCACCAGAUACCGCUAAAAAAAAUUCAAUAAAAAUGGACAAAGUGCGUUUUAGAACACUUUUUAUGUUUAAAAACGCAAUUCGAAAAAAAUGGACUAAGGGCGUUUUGGAAUAUCGCUCCUCAAACAGAAUAUGAAUAUUAAAACCAUAUACCACAGAGUACUUAU